UGGGGAGUAGCCAAGCGGUAAGGCAGCGGGUUCUGGUCCCGCCAUGCGGGGGUUCGAAUCCCUCCUCCCCAGCCA
rnacentral:tRNA from 1 species